GGGAAUUGGAGGUUAUCAUCACUUUGGUUACGUCGCGUCGUGUCGUGGUCGGUAUCGUUUGUCGGUUAGGCGAUUUGUCGGUUCAGUUUGUAUGCCGUUGUAGGUAAGGUAGAUAUACUUAGUGGCUAGCAAAUCAAAGCUAGAAGCUUACAUCAGAAACACAAACAACUUUAGGUCGAUACAUACCUACCUUAAGCUUGUUGUGGAUUUCUUAGAAUCGUAGAUGCAUAAUGCAGGUAACUUGUCCGCGGGAAACCCAAGUUUUUAUUCAACUGUUGGCCGUCAUUUUAUCUACCUUGUUUAAUAUCGAGAAGAAAAUUAUGAAUUUAAAUUAUUUCAAAAGAAAUAAAAAAAUAAUCUUAUCAAACCAG